CCCUUAGAUGUUCUGGGCCGCACACGCGCUACACUGUAGGAGGCAGCGUGUACUCCUGGAUCGAAAGAUUUGGGUAACCCGCGAAUCUCCUUCGUGCUAGGGAUUGAGGUUUGCAAUUAUCCUUCAUGAACGAGGAAUUCCCAGUAAGUGCAAGUCAUAAGCUUGCGCUGACUACGUCCCUGCCCUUUGUACACACCGCCCGUCGCUACUACCGAUUGAAUGAUUUAGUGAGGACUUCGGACUGGGACCGAUGCGGCUUUCGGGCUGCGUCGGUAUUCUGGAAAGAUGUCCAAACUGUAUCAUUUAGAGGAAGUAAAAGUCGUAACA
rnacentral:rRNA from 1 species